rnacentral:rRNA from 1 species
CGGGGUGAGUACAACAUAGGAAAUCUGCCUUAGGGUGGGGGACAACAGAGGGAAACUUCUGCUAAUACCCCAUAUGAGCUUGGUUGAAAUACCAAUCUUGAAAGUUCCGGCGCCCUAAGAUGAGCCUGUGCCUGAUUAGCUAGUUGGUGGUGUAAUGGACUACCAAGGCAACGAUCAGUAGCUGGUUUGAGAGGAUGAUCAGCCACAAUGGGACUGAGACACGGCCCAUACUCCUACGGGAGGCAGCAG